UCGGGAAUUUUGGGCAAUGGGCGAAAGCCUGACCCAGCAACGCCGCGUGAAGGAUGAAGUAUUUCGGUAUGUAAACUUCGAAAGAAUAGUAAGAAUAAAUGACGGUACUAUUUAUAAGGUCCGGCUAACUACGUGCCAGCAGCCGCGGUAAUACGUAGGGACCAAGCGUUGUUCGGAUUUACUGGGCGUAAAGGGCGCGUAGGCGGCAAUUCAAGUCAUCUGUGAAAUCUCCGGGCUUAACUCGGAACGGUCAGAUGAUACUGCUUUGCUAGAGUGCAGAAGGGGCAAUCGGAAUUCUUGGUGUAGCGGUGAAAUGCGUAAAUAUCAAGAGGAACACCUGAGGCGAAGGCGGGUUGCUGGGCUGAUACUGACGCUGAGGCGCGAAAGCUAGGGUAGCAAACGGGAUUAGAUACCCCGGUAGUCCCUGAGCGGGCUGGCAAGGCGCAU
rnacentral:rRNA from 1 species